UUGUGCUUAUAAUAACUAAACGUAAUUGUUCAUUGGUGUGGACACCAAUAUAUUAUCAUUUUUUGGUGUGAACGAGCCUCAAGUCUUGAAUCUCAAAUCUGAUUCACUCAUUCAAAGCUUGACAGCCCCUGGUCACCAUUGACUGUCAUUGUAUGAGAGAGAAUAGCAUGAAUAUGCUGCCAAACAUGUCUUUUCCUUCUCAUUCGGGUUUGGAAUGUCUUGAAGGCAUUUUACUAUAAAGUGCUGGAGGGAUUGAGGAUUUUGAAAGCUGUAAGAAACAUUUGCCAUCAUGUAGAGCCGAAAAAAUUAGCAGUGGCCAUUACAACUUGCAGACUUCAUCUCAGCACAGGAUGAUAGCAGCAACCUGAAGUUAAAUAGAGAUUUAUCAAUUCAUUUUCCUCUCAAAUGUGUCAAGCUGCUUAAGUUGUAGUAGCUAUUAGGAUUUGCAAAUUGAACAGACUUGCUGACAGCCUGGGUAGCUUUUCAUCAGGAUGAAGUGUAGAUGUGGAGGAACCCCAGAUACAUUAUCUCUAGAGUUCAUUUUUGGAGAAUCUGCGAAGUCGUGCCCAGCCGUUGUCUGCUUUCUGUCCAGCAAUUCCCCAUCGGCGCGCACAGCAAUUCAGUGCAGCCAAACAAAGACAAUGUGAGAGAUGUUUACCAAUCGUGUGCUGGACACAAUGGGGAUGGAAAGUCCAAACAUGUGGGCCGAAAUUCAUUUCUUCGGGAUGCUUGUCAAACACGGCGCUGCCAAUUAAACACUCCUCCAAAAACCUGGAAGCCUGCUGUUCUGUAAUGAAAGCUGUAACCGCAUGACUGAACAUAUGUGUGUGUACGGGAUAAAACACUGGAUACCUAGCGUGUCCCCUAGAUUAAUACGUAUGCUGCGAUGACUCUUAAACACUUCCCGUUUCAUUAUGUCGUGAUGCUCAUGUGCUUUUUCAGCCGUAUUAAUGACAAAACCCUGCUUAUUCUCUUCUCAAAGCCGUUUAUUUCCUCUCACAAUAGUACUUAUGCUAUUUUAUGUUUGAUCCAGGAAAAAAAUGGGUUUAAAUCAAUCAGCUGUGACUCGAAUUAAAAAAUUAUCCUUUAAAACCCCUUCACUUUCCAUAGUUGUGGUGUUUCAGUGUUUAUUGUGGCUGGAAAUGCUAUCAGAAUUUCAACCCUAUCCUUUCAACCAUACCUUAUUUCUCGUCAAUCCCUC